GUUAAAAGCUAGGGCUAGGACUUGGAGGAUGUGUAGGCAAACGGAAGGAGAGCCGGGGGAAGAAAAAGCGAAAUGGAUUCAUUCUCUGUCCUGGAUGGAGGAGGAGAGGAGAAGAGAAGGGGACGUGCGAGCUUCCUUCAACUGCCUCUGUCCGAUGAAAAGUGCUCAGACCCCCG
rfam:Pterocles gutturalis contig88420, whole genome shotgun sequence.